UUGUAUAUUUAGUCUCACUCAGACAACAUGUUCAGAUGAUAGUUUGGCCGUGUAAGACGACCAAGCAAGAGGUAGAUUGGCAAGGGUUGGAGUUCCCGAAGGAAUUCUUGUAAUGAUCCUUCCGCAGGUUCACCUACGGAAA
rnacentral:misc_RNA from 1 species